CCUGGCUUCUGUGAAACUGAACAUCUCCAAGUAAAUAUUUUCACUGCUAAGCACAGGCAGCACUUCGAGGCUUCGUGACGAAGACGUGGAAACCGCAACCCGGACCUCGCCGUCAGAGCCGGGCCUGCAUUUCCCAGUCAGCACGUGUGUCCCUUCUCCUCAGCAACCGCCAGCCCUGGGACAAGCCCCACACCACCCUGGUUACCCUCAGCUGCGAGAUGGGAGGUGCCGGGCACAGCCAGGACUGCAUCUGGUCCGUGCUGCAGGGAUGCAGCCCCGCAUGGGGCCGGGGCUUAGAUCAGCCUCUUGUUGGGUUGAGCGGGGAGGCGCACACCUGCCCCAGACUGCAGCUCAAAAGAGGCAGAGGCGAGGGUCAAGCGUUCCAUACCCCGAGGUCCCCGGGGGCCCCGUCAGAAAAGGUCCUGGGCGCAGACUUCACCUUCUGGACCUUCUCCUAUCCGGAAAGUAUGUGGCUCACACGGUGGUGCAAGGAGCCUUGGGCUGGGCAGCUGCUGGCCUGGAUCCGAGUCCUGCCCUGGUGAAAGUGCUGAUUACUUUACAUACUUCUACAUCUGCAGAACCAGGUGAUUGAUCCUCAAAGCCCAGCCAGCUCCAGCAAGCUCUGGUACCUGCAACCACGGGCCGCCCUGUGCCCGGCCCACCUUCCUCGAACCGUGUUCCGCUCACCUGUGGCGCGGCCGCCCCCGGAGCAGCGCGUGCCGUGUGCCGAGGACAGAGGCAGACCCGGACAGAGAUAGAUGUGGAGGGGUAGCCAGUAUCAGGGGCACCCCCGCUUGUGCUCACUGCCCCACCCGCCUGCUUUUGCCGCUAACGUCCAGACAUUCUUCUCUUAACCCCAAAGCCCCUGGGGUUCAGUUCCUGCUGUUGCAGCCCAAGGGCUCCACCAAGAGCUGGGGGCAGUGUCCACCUCCUGGGGGUCUCGAGGGGCUCCAUAAGAGCCCCUUGUCCUGAGCCCCCACCCAGGCUGCGCACUGGCAGCUGUUCAGUCCCGGCUGGCUUUAAUUGUUGUCGUUUAAUAUUCAAUAUUGACAUAAACUCUAUUUUGGUUGUGAAACCACUCAGCAUUCCAUGUCCUUAUUCCUGGAUUUUGAUUCUAAGCCCCUUUAGGAAAUGUCUGCCCCGAAGUGACCGUCUCGUCUGGAAGGUUCCCACAGAGCAGGGUAUGAUGACAGCCCAACGGGCUUCCUCCC
rnacentral:lncRNA from 1 species